rnacentral:rRNA from 1 species
CCUACGGGAGGCAGCAGUGAGGAAUAUUGGUCAAUGGACGAGAGUCUGAACCAGCCAAGUAGCGUGAAGGAUGACUGCCCUAUGGGUUGUAAACUUCUUUUAUAAAGGAAUAAAACGAGGCACGUGUGCCUUUUUGCAUGUACUUUAUGAAUAAGGAUCGGCUAACUCCGUGCCAGCAGCCGCGGUAAUACGGAGGAUCCGAGCGUUAUCCGGUUUUAUUGGGUUUAAAGGGGGCGUAGAUGGGUUGUUAAGUCAGUUGUGAAAGUUUGCGGCUCAACCGUAAAAUUGCAAUUGAUACUGGCAGUCUAGAGUACAGGUGAGGUAGGCGGAAUGCGUGGUGUAGCGGUGAAAUGCAUAGAUAUCACGAAGAACCCCGAUUGCGAAGGCAGCUUACUAAACUGUGACUGACAUUGAUGCACGAAAGUGUGGGUAUCAAACAGGAUUAGAUACCCCUGUAGUC